UUUCACUGUGUCUCGAUGAGAUCCUUAGGUUGUCACGAGUGCGUAGGAUUUCACGGAUCUCAAUUCGGACGUCGUUUGACUAUCGAACGGAUAUCGCCUAUUGCUCGUUAUCCGAGUUCGAUAGGUUAGGACCGUUGGAUGGUCUCAAAUUUAAUAUAUGUUAAUCUAGGUAUUUCUAGGAUCGUCUAGGAAUUCACGUAUCAUGAAUCGG
rnacentral:lncRNA from 1 species